GUCAUUGACAUAAUGAAUUCCCUAGCCCUUUACCCUAACCUUAACCAUCACAACUAAAUGCCUAACAUUAACCCUGACCCUCACCCUAACCAUAACCUAAUUCUAAAACCAAGUAUUAACCCUCAAACAGACCUUAAAAGUUGUGGGGUCCAGCAUUUUGGCCCAACAAAGCUGCCAGGACCCCAUAAGUAUACUGGCCCCCACAAG